AAGUCGACGAUGAUUUGUUUUAAUUGGAAUUAUCGUCUGAUAUUUUAUGAGAAUUUAUGGCUGACUGGGGCUUCGC
rfam:Vigna radiata var. radiata cultivar VC1973A chromosome 9, whole genome shotgun sequence